GCUAGCAUUUAUACAGUUUUGUUUACCUUAGUCAUGAGAUAUGCAAUACAAUACAGAUUAUACGAUUUAUUACUUCCUUAUAUAUUACAUGUUAUUCUGACAAUGGGAAGAUAAGCUUUUUUGCAUACGUCUGGAAAAUAAUAUCCUGAAAUCGGAAUGGGCAAGACAUCCUGAAAUUUUAGCAUUGUCUUACAUCCUAUAGAAGAAAUACCUUAGUCUGUCACAGUCAGCAUAUUAUGUCGUUUAAGUAUUCAAUAUCCCUCCAGUCAGCAAUAAUCAUGUUAUAAACCUUAUAAAAGCAUAAAAUACAUAUAAACAAGGAAACUAUUUCAUAUUUCUUACAUCCCCCUCUUUGAGCAAUUAAUUUGCUCAUCUUAUCAAUAAAAUUUUACCAGGACAGAGAAACUUCCACAUGGUAUUUUCAGGGGUGCUAGUCACUCCCUGCGGGACUUUCAUUAAUUUCUUCACCUCGAUUCCCAUGUGGUAAUUCCUAAGGCCCAGUUUUAAAGAUGGGUUGAUAGCCUCCAGUGGCAGAGAGGAGAGUUUCCAAUUGUUUCUGUUCUGCAUUAUAGAUUAAUUUCUGUAUUCUCUUUCUCAGUGUACAAGUAAGAUGGCAGUUAUACAAAAUCAUACACAAUAAAAUCAGGACUAUAAUAACAAGAGGAUAGAAGAAUGAUUUCAUUAUCUGGGAUCCCGUAGGAGACCAACCAGUAAAAGCAUCGUACCAAUGAUGGACUAAAUCAUUCUGAAUCUGUGAACUCACCUUAAGGAGUUCUCCUUUUAGGAUAUGUGUGGCUACCUGUGUGUGUACUAGAGCAUCAUUAUGUGUAACAAGAUGUUUAAACAUAUUUUGUUUUCCUUUCAUUAAGGAGACAAUAGUCUCAAGAGGUAAAUGGUAAUCUUCAAAAGGCAGCGAGCCUAAUAGGGCAUUAACAUGUUUGUCUAAAGUAAUUGUGUCGCUGAAAUAAUAUUGGGUGCCAUUAAGAUCUAACCAGGUAAUAUUAGUCAAACAUCCUGAAAAAGGGAGAGGUAGAUUAAUACUUGUAGUGCUAGUAAUUAUCUUUGUAGGGAGAUUAGUUGCUAAACAGAUAUGUCGUGUGCUUAUUUCUGUCAUGGUAAAAUAAUUUUCAGGAUAUAUGUGCCAUAUACAUUUGUUAAGUUCAUUUUGGAGUAAACAUGGUUCGUAAAUAGAGGACGAGUGUCGACAUGCAUAUCCUUUGUCAGUGAGAACACAGUGUUUAAGGGAAUAGGUCAUAUUAUCUUUGGGAAAAAUAUAGUCCCCUGUGUAUGUGGGUGCCCACCAGGUUAAAUUCUUGGCAAAGAGAUCAUAAACUGGUACUGGUAAUGUGUUAAAUUGACAAGCUAAUUUAACAUCCUUUGAUGUUGUAUGAUAUAAUGUAAAAUAACAUGAGCAUGAAAAAUGUGAUACAGUACCAGUUAACCAUUCAUUGCAUUUAGUGGAUUGGGGUUUCAGAAGUAACCAUUCAUUAUCUGUGAGGUUAAGCAUUCCUCUAAUCUUCUCUAAUUUAGGAAUCAUUAGUAUGUCUUCUAAUGCCGAUCUUUGGUGUUGCAUCCAUAAAUACCUGAUGGCACAAGUACUCCAAUUACUUAGACCUGUUGUGAAUUUCAUAGUUGCAACAGUUAAAUUAUCUAAAUAAUUAUACAUUGAUUUAUCUAAAUCCAAUCCUGUAACCUGUGAUUUAACAACAGUUGGAGCCCAGUUUGCAGUAGCAUGAAAACCAGUCCCUAUAUGCAUACUGGCUGUGUUUAACUUAUUCUUGAGGGUCUCCAUGUCUAUACUAUUUAGUAUACCCAUAGUGGUUCCAGCACCUCCUAACAGUGUGUCAUACCAUUCCCUUUUCUGCCUUUUGUUUGCUGUGUUACAUAAUGUUACAACAGGAGUAGUGAUUUUUAAUGACACAUGUACAGCUUGUAAGAAGACAGUUGUAUUAACACAUGUGGAUGGAAUAGGUGUGUGUGUGUCGUUGUUGACUUUUGGUUCUAUGUUAGAGGAUAAAGGACAGUAAUAAGGUGUAAAAAUAUAAGGUAGUGUAUAGUUCUCAAUUGCAGUGUCAUUCAUAAUGACUAACAUUUGUCCCUUUUUUCAAUUAAUGGUACCAGUUGUAUAAUCAUUAUUAAAAGUAAUAAGGCCUGUUUGUUUACAUUGAUAUGCAACCUUACUAAUUUUCUUAUAAUAUAUAUCCCAAACCUGUUUAGGUGGUUUUCUCUUACCAUCAGAACUUAUAUUAAAUAAGGUGGCACAGAUACCAGUGUAAUUAGCAACCUUAACUGUGCACAUUUCUGUGUUAUAAGAUCUAACAAUUUUCCGUGAACCUUCAAACAAACAUAAUGCAUCGGUUUCAUUAGCUGUGGACACAUUCCAUAUGAGUAAUUGAUACUUAUAAGGGUUAUUAUUUGUCCAAUUCAUCCAAAUGCGUUCAGUGAAUGAAUGAUUGCAUAUUACAUGCUGAUAAAAGGGUGGUGGAGAAAAGUUCUUGAGGGAGCGUGUGUGACGAAUGCUAGAUGAGGGGUUAAGGCCUAAUUGGGCUGGGGGUAUUGAAGAAUUGUUCAUCAUGUCAGAGUCUUCUUUCCAGAAACAAACAGGUUUCAAACUUGCCAUUGCCUCGUAUUCAUAAUGGCAUUCAAGGAACAAUAUCAAAGGGAGUAUAACUACUCCAGAAAACAUAGCACACAACAUAAUCUUGGUCUCAGAUUCGUAUGAUCCUCUCAAUCUACGAUAUGGUGUGAAAACCAUGAUGCUUCGCUAAGGGGGACUUCUUCUGUUUCCGAGCGAGGAGUGGUGUUGUCUUCCUUGGCUCCCCUCUUUGGACACAGCUUCACUCGGGAUGCGUGAAUCCAGAUGUCGUGGGAAUCUGUGAGGACAGCGGUUCUGGUUACAGCAAUCACAGUAGCAGGUGGUCCAAAAGGGUAUCCUCCUUUCUUGGUCCUGUUCAGCUGACGGAUAUACACCUUGUCACCGGGCUGGUAUGGAUGAGUAGGUUCCUGUGAAGGUAAGGGAAACUGCGAAGAAACAUUGCCAUAUAUACCAUUCAGUUUUAUCAACAAUUCCUGUACAUAUUGUUCUUGUAUUAGCUGUAAAUCCCCAGACAUUAUAACAAGCGGUUCCCUGGCCCAGGGUGUGGGAAAAGGUCGUCCCAUCAGAAUCUCAAAUGGAGAUAAUUUAGUCACCUUGUGGGGAGUCAUUCUUAUCUCAGCUAAAAUAGCUGGAAGAUAUUUUGUCCAAUUUACCCAUGUUCCUGCAGUAGCUUUCAUAAGCUUCUCCUUAAUGGUCCUAUUCAUCCUUUCAACUACCCCUGAACUCUGUGGAUGAUAGGGUAUAUGAAACUUCCAGGUAACUUGCAAGAAUUUAGCAAGUUCCUGGGUAACCUUACUAGCAAAAGCCGGGCCAUUAUCAGAGUUAAUCUGCAGAGGGCAGCCAUACCUGGGAAUAAUUUCAGUAGCAAGAAUCUUCACUACAGUCCUAGCAUCUUCCCUGGAUGUCACAAAGGCUUCGGGCCAUCUACUAAACUGAUCAACUAUGACCAGUAAGUAUUGCUGUUUCUUACCAAUUUUGGGUACAUGAGUAAAAUCAAUCUGUAAGUGUGUAAAAGGAGCAGCUGUUCAUGCUGUGAUUUGUGUGGAAUAUUUGGAUGUGUUCUCAUACAUGGUUCACAUGAUCUUACAAAAGACUGUACAUGCUGCCUGAGAUUCCUAAUAUAAAAUGAAUUCAUGAGGAAUUGGAUGGUACUUGCUAUGCUUUUAUGGCCAGGACCAUGUGCCUGACUGAUGAAAAUAAAACAACUUGCUUCAGGUAUGCCAAUCUUCCCCUCUUUAGAGAAAAGAUCAUUCUGAUCUUUUUCUAAACCUUGUUUAAUCCAAAAAUCCAAGUCAGAUUGCGUUGCAAAGGCUUGAAGCUGCAAAAGCAAACUGUCAGUAGGGCAUGUGGGUGGUUUAAGCAUAGCAGGAAACAUUUUAAAGUAAACAAUCUUGGCUGCAGCUUCUUUUGCUACUUUGUCAGCCAAGGCAUUUCCUCUUGAAAUGUCAUCACUACCAAGAGUGUGUGCCUUGCAGUGGAUAAUAGCUACUUCAGAUGGUAGUAGGAUAGCAUCUAGGAGUGAUUGGAUGAGAUUUGUGUGUGAAAUGGCUUUUCCAUCGGCUCCUACAAAACCUCUUUGUUUCCAGAUCACACCAAAAUCAUGCACUACCCCAUGAGCAUAUCGUGAGUCUGUGUAAAUGUUCACUCGCUGUCCUGAGAAAAGCUGACAGGCACGUGUGAGAGCAAUGAGUUCUGCAGCUUGUGCAGACGGCUGGAAAAUAGUGUCAGCUUCAAUGAUUUUAUCAGGUAGCUGUACCACAGCAUAGCCUGUGAGGUACGUACCGUCAUUUGGUCUGGAGCAAGAGCCAUCCACAAAGACAGUGGUCACAUCCGGGACACUGAGUGCUGUGGAGGAGAGGUCUGCUCUGGGAGAUGUGGCAAUAUGUAUUUGUUCAAUGCAAUUAUGAGGCUCAGAUGGUAUAGACACAGAGUCAGAUGCAGAAGUAAGAAUAGCAUGCAAAACAGACAUAGGACCAGAAUUAACAGGACUAUACACAAUAGACAGAUUCUGGGUGUUAAGAAGAAUAAUCUCAUAACCACUUAAACGCUGGGCUGUCAUGUGUUGUGUGGUGAUAUUUUUUAUCAGCUGAGUGACCUGGUGACUGGUAUGGAGUACUGUAGGAUGCCCUAGUGUGAUAGUAGUAGCAGUCUCAACAGCCAUUGCACAUGCUGCCAAUGCUCUGAGACACGCCGGCAUACCCUGUACCGGAGCUGGAAAUAUUUUGGAAAAGAAUGCUAUGGGACGCAUACCGCCUCCGUGCUCUUGUGCACAGACCGCGGCCAUGGUUUUACAGUUGUCCCGAGCAUACAAAUGAAAUGGUUUACAAUACACAGGUAGUCCUAAAGCCGGGGCUUGCACAAUAGCAACUUUGAGGGUUAUAUACGCAGCUAACAUGUCUGGUGACCAGCAGACAUUUUCAGGGCUGUCAGAACGUACAGCCUCCCUUAGGAUUGAGUCAUAAUGAGAGCAUUCAGGGAUCCAUUGGCGGCAGUAAUUAAUCAUGCCGAGGAAGGUGAGCAACUCCUUCCGAGUAGUGGGUUUAGGAAUCCUCUGAAUGACCUCAAUACGUUUUGGACUCAAUUGUCUGGUGCCUGAAGCCAGAACAAAACCUAAGUAAUCAACCUUUGAUUUACACAAUUGCAUUUUGUGUUUUGCAACCUUGUGACCCACAGUUGCUAAGUGUCUGAGCAAACUGACAGUAUCCACAGUGCUUGCCUCAUAGCUAGGGCUACAUAACAACAAAUCAUCAACAUAUUGCAAAAGGACGGAACCAUGACCGGGGGUCCAUGUUUUUAGAGUAUGUUGGAGUACCAGCGAAUAAACAGCUGGGGAGUCCACAUAGCCUUGGGGUAAACGUGUCCAGGUAUACUGACAGCCUUCAAAAGUAAAAGCCAUAAGUAGCUGUGUCUCUUGAUCAAUAGGUAUAGAAAAAAAUGCAUUACUUAAAUCAAUGACAGUGAAGCAAGUGGCAUCAUGUGGAAUGGCUGUAAUGAGGGAUGUCACAUC